rnacentral:lncRNA from 1 species
AUGGUCUCCUCAGCUCUGCUCUCGUCUCUCCUGCUGCUUUCUCUCUCAGGGUUCCUCGCCCAAACUGCAGAUCAGGUGUACUUCCACCUGGAGGUGAAAUACAACCAACCGGACAGAAACAGUCAGGUGUUCUCUGCCCAAACUCCCUUCAGAGGGGUUCUGUUUGGGGCUAUGGACAGACUCAACAACUCCAACCCAGACUUCAACUUCACCUCCUCAAAGAACGUCGACUACGGAGCGUUCCUGGUGAGCGUCAACGGUUUGUUUGGGAACGACCAAGACCGGACAUACUGGGAGCUGCUGGUUCAGAAAGACACCAACACCAUUAUCAGACCUGAUGUUGGUAGGUUUGUGUGUGUGUUGGUGUGUGUGUGUGUGUGUGUGUGUCUGUGUGUGUGUGUGUGUGUGUGUGUGUGUGUGUGUGUGUGUGUGUGUGUGUGUGUGUGUGUGUGUGUGUGUGUGUGUGUGUGUGUGUGUGUGUGUGUGUGUGUGUGUGUGUGUGAGAGUGUGCAUCUAUGAUAUAGGAUCUUCCAACUUCCUAUGAAUUAUAAGACUUGAAUGUUGUGUGUGUUGCAGGGAUCAGCUGUUACAUUCCUCAGGCCAAGGAGAAGGUGAUGCUGAACUACACCACUUAUUAGACAGAGGUCCCUUCUUUGGAUCGCUCUCACUGGGAGAGUAUGGACCUUAUGCCCCUGGCGGCCAUCUUGGUUCUAACUUCAGCAGUAUUCAUGCUCCUGUUUGGAACCAAGAUGGCAGCUUUGUAAAUAAGGCCCAGGCUUUGGAACCCGGACAAUUCACAUCUCAAAAUGGCGUUGCUUGUUUUUUUGUUCCAUAAUAAGUUUUUGGAUUAAAAACUUCUAGUGUAUAAACCUCAACCUGCCUCUGGUCUACAUCCUGCCUCUGAACAAUUAUAAUACGAUCAAAUAAAUACAACAAAUACAUUUAUAACACUGAAUGUCAAGAGGGGUACAAUACAUUCAUCGUAAUAUGAAUAAAAACAUAUCAAACACAAUAUACA